rnacentral:snoRNA from 1 species
UGGUGCCCCUCGAGGCGUUGCAGAUGUGGCUGCGGUGCCCCAUUUGUGUCAUGAGGUGGCAGAGAGGAUAAGGCUAUGUCUACGCUCCGUGUUCAAAAAUUUGUGAGCACGCAGAAUGAUUAAUAGCCUGACAGUU